rnacentral:rRNA from 1 species
GAUGAACGCUAGCGGGAGGCUUAAUACAUGCAAGUCGAGCGGUAAGGUUUUCGGACCCUAGAGCGGCGAACGGGUGAGUAACGCGUACGAAACCUACCCUUUUAAGAGAGGAAUAGCCCUGGGAAACUGGGAGUAAUGCCUCAUAGUAUUCAUUUACCGCAUGGUUUUAUGGAUUAAAGCUACGGCGCUUAAAGAUGGUCGUGCGUCUGAUUAGCUAGUUGGUAGGGUAACGGCCUACCAAGGCUACGAUCAGUAGGGGGCGUGAGAGCGUGGCCCCCCACACGGGUACUGAGACACGGACCCGACUCCUACGGGAGGCAGCAGUAAGGAAUAUUGGGCAAUGGACGCAAGUCUGACCCAGCCAUCCCGCGUGCAGGACGAAUGCCCUAUGGGUUGUAAACUGCUUUUGUUUGGGAAGAAAUGUAUUCUUUUAAGAGUAUUUGACGGUACCAGACGAAUAAGCACCGGCUAACUCCGUG